CCACCCAUCUCCUUAUAGCUUUGGGGUGGGGUGGGGCUGGAGCUGUUUUCUGUGGUUACAUGGGCAGCGUGGUAUGGAACAGUGAGACCCACUGUUCUUGUAUGCUGUGGGGAAGUUUAGUUAUUAGGAUGUAUUGGAAAUUGUUCAGAUGACAAAACAUCACUUUAAAUUGUAAGGGGUUUCCUCUGGUCCUGCUUGCAGCCUAGGGGGUCUCUGAGAGAAGCCAUGUGAUGAUCUGGGUUUCCUGGUGCAGUCUGCAGAGAGUCAGCAUGGAGAUGUGAAGAUAAAAUCCAUUAAUGUGCGUGAGACACUACAGUGAAGAAUGCCACGCUCCAUCGCUCCUGUUUACGGCUCAGGGGAACUGGCAGGGUGUGUGAAGCUGAUCGUUAGCAGACUCAGAUCCAGAUGGCAGCAGCUUCUCACCCACAUUCCCUUCCUGUUGGCUGGCUUGCUCUGCUGCAACCCCAACCGUUCAACCCCAGAGACUGGUUUACAUUUUGAAAGUGAUGAAUGUGGGGCCCGAUCCUGCAAACUCCCACAACAAGGCGUACGGCCAUUGAGAUGGCACCCAGGAGGGUUUGCUGGAUCAGGCCUGUUGUUUUUGAUCCUGCCAACUGCAGGUCUCUCCAUUCCCCUUGACUCUGCUGGAAGUGGAGGAUGCUCAGCGCCUCAUAGCACCAGAACUAGAGCCAGUAGAAAAAUGCGGGAAGCCGGGGGGACAUGCUAUUGAGAUCUGGUUUGUUUGGGGUUUUUUAGAUUCUUCCCCCCCCCCCCAAUUUUGAAACUGACAUCAAUGCUACUCUGCCUGUCUGCAGCCAGCGCACCCACGCUCGGUUGGAUCGGAGCUGUAAGACUAUAAACUCUCUGGGGUAGGGACUGUCUCUCAGGAUGUGUCUGUGCAGUGCCUAGUGCAACAGGACCCUCUCGCAGCUGGGGCUUCUCGGUGCUGCCUGAAUACAAAUCCACGAGAACAGUAUAGUACUGUGUCCAGUUGACACUGCCAGGGGAAUUUUAGAGAAGCAAAAUGCAGUUACCUAAAUAAAUAGGGAUGUGGAUAGGACACCCUGCUCAGCACUUUUACUCUUGUAAAAAA